rnacentral:ncRNA from 1 species
ACAAAAACUGUGAUGAGGAGUAUUAAGAGUACUUGCGUUUCAGAGAGCUGCCGGAUGGUGCGAGGCAGUAACGAUAAAACUCCCAACUCGCCUCGGAGUUCCUUGAUUGAAUUUAGUAGAUUAAGGCGGGAAUUCCCGUUAUAGAAUUAAUGAGUGCAUCCUUUUUGGAUGAAUUAGAGUGGUACCACGGAAAGUAAAGCCCUUUCGUCUCUAUA